rnacentral:tRNA from 1 species
UGAGGAUAUAGCUCAGUUGGUGGAGUGCUUGCCUGCAUGCACAAGGCCCUGGGUUCAAUCCCCAGCACCACAA